rnacentral:rRNA from 1 species
UACAGAGGUCUCGAGCGUUGUUCGGAUUCAUUGGGCGUAAAGGGUGCGUAGGUGGCGCUGUAAGUCGGGUGUGAAAUCCUGAGGCUUAACCUCGGAACUGCAUUCGAUACUGCGGUGCUUGAGGACUGGAGAGGAGACUGGAAUUCAUGGUGUAGCAGUGAAAUGCGUAGAGAUCAUGAGGAAGACCAGUGGCGAAGGCGGGUCUCUGGACAGUUCCUGACACUGAGGCACAAAGGCCAGGGGAGCAAACGGG